rnacentral:rRNA from 1 species
UACGGGGGGGGCAAGCGUUGUUCGGAAUUACUGGGCGUAAAGGGCUCGUAGGCUGCCAACCAAGUCGGACGUGAAAUCCCUCGGCUUAACCGGGGAACUGCGUCUGAUACUGGAUGGCUUGAGUUUGGGAGAGGGAUGCGGAAUUCCAGGUGUAGCGGUGAAAUGCGUAGAUAUCUGGAGGAACACCGGUGGCGAAGGCGGCAUCCUGGACCAACACUGACGCUGAUGAGCGAAAGCCAGGGGAGCAAACGGG